GCCCCCCGGAUGAUGCACCAUCGAUUGAAGCUGACGAUAUCGAUGGGCCUUGGCCAGGGGUUG
rnacentral:pre_miRNA from 1 species